GAUGAACGCUGGCGGCGUGCCUAAUACAUGCAAGUCGAGCGAACAGAUGAGGAGCUUGCUCCUCUGACGUUAGCGGCGGACGGGUGAGUAACACGUGGAUAACCUACCUAUAAGACUGGGAUAACUUCGGGAAACCGGAGCUAAUACCGGAUAAUAUAUUGAACCGCAUGGUUCAAUAGUGAAAGACGGUUUUGCUGUCACUUAUAGAUGGAUCCGCGCCGCAUUAGCUAGUUGGUAAGGUAACGGCUUACCAAGGCAACGAUGCGUAGCCGACCUGAGAGGGUGAUCGGCCACACUGGGACUGAGACACGGUCCAGACUCCUACGGGAGGCAGCAGUAGGGAAUCUUCCGCAAUGGGCGAAAGCUUGACGGAGCAACGCCGCGUGAGUGAUGAAGGUCUUCGGAUCGUAAAACUCUGUUAUUAGGGAAGAACAAAUGUGUAAGUAACUAUGCACGUCUUGACGGUACCUAAUCAGAAAGCCACGGCUAACUACGUG
rnacentral:rRNA from 1 species